rnacentral:rRNA from 1 species
UGAGGAAUAUUGGUCAAUGGACGAAAGUCUGAACCAGCCAUGCCGCGUGCAGGAUGACGGCCCUACGGGUUGUAAACUGCUUUUAUAUAGGAAGAAACUGACGGUACUAUAAGAAUAAGGACCGGCUAACUCCGUGCCAGCAGCCGCGGUAAUACGGAGGGUCCAAGCGUUAUCCGGAUUUAUUGGGUUUAAAGGGUACGUAGGCGGAAUUUUAAGUCAGUAGUGAAAGCCCAUCGCUUAACGAUGGAACUGCUAUUGAAACUGAAAUUCUUGAAUAUAGUUGAAGUAGGCGGAAUACGGCAUGUAGCGGUGAAAUGCAUAGAUAUGCCGUGGAACACCAAUCGCGAAGGCAGCUUACUAAGCUAUUAUUGACGCUAAUGUACGAAAGCGUGGGUAGCGAACAGGAUUAGAUACCCUGGUAGUCCACGCCGUAAACGAUGAUUACUCGGUGCUGGCGAUACACUGUCAGUGCCUAAGCGAAAGUGAUAAGUAAUCCACCUGGGAGACAUCGGCUU